rnacentral:rRNA from 1 species
GAGGUGGAUAGGUCUGGGGUGGAAGUACGGCGACGUAUGCAGCUGACAGAUACUAAUCGAUCGAGGACUUAACCUAUUU